rnacentral:tmRNA from 1 species
GGGGCUGACUUGGAUUUCGACAGAUUUCUUGUCGCACAGAUAGCAUGCCAAGUGCUGCUUGUAAAACAGCAACAAAAAUAACUGUAAACAACGCAGACUACGCUCCAGCUUACGCUAAAGCUGCGUAAGUUAAUCUCCUUUUGGAGCUGGACUGAUUAGAAUUUCUAGCGUUUUAAUCACUCCAUAACCUUAAGCUAGACGCUUUUAAAAGGUGGUUCGCCUUUUAAACUAAGAAACAAGAACUCUUGAAACUACCUCAAGGUUUUAGAAAGUUGGACCAGAGCUAGUUUUAAGGCUAAAAAACCAACCAAUUUUCUAAGCAUUGUAGAAGUUUGUGUUUAGGGCAAGAUUUUUGGACUGGGGUUCGAUUCCCCACAGCUCCACCA